GGUGCGCUAGCUCAAGUGGAUAGAGCACACGCCUCCGGAGCGUGGGGUAAGGCGUUCGAAUCGCCUGCGUACCGCCA
rnacentral:tRNA from 2 species